rnacentral:rRNA from 1 species
UGCAGUCGAGCGCGUAGCUUACAGCUUGCUACUUAUGACUAUCGCGUGGGACUCUACCCUUUUCUACGGAAUAACCUGCCCUAUCUUGUGCUAAUACCGUAUACACCCUUUGGGGGAAAGAUUUCACUCAGGAUAAAGCUCCUGUGUAGGAUACGUGAUCAACAUGAUGUCGGAGGCUUACACGCCUACAAGGUGCCACCAUCCUAUACCUGGUAUGGAGCAUGGAUCUCAGCACAUCUAGGACUGAAACACAGCACCGAAUUCUUCCUACGGGAAUGCAGCAUGCGUGAAUGAUUGAACAAUCGGCUGCAACGCAUGAUCCAACCAUGACGCGUGAGAAUCUGAUCCGUAGAACGGAAGAUGCAAUACAUCAUUCACCGGUGAAGAUAAUGACAGUAACCAGUAGAAGCAAGCCCGGCUAUAACUUCGUGCCAACAACCACGGGAAUACCUAGGAAGUGGCAUAGCUUGUUCGUCCAAAUAUACUGGGCCCAAAGCGAAGCUUAGGGCCACAUUUAACUCGAGGGGUGAAAUCCCCGGGCUCUGUCAACGCGAGAGUCACUGUUUGAUACUGGGUGUCUAGAGUCCCGAAAAGGAGAAUGGAAUUCACAGUGGAGCAGGUCAAGUUCGUACAUAUGUCAGAGGAACACACAGUGGGCGAAGGCGACUCACUGGUCCGUACCUGGAAGUCUGACGGUGACGUGAGAGAUGCGAGGAGCGCACACAAGAUUAGAGACCGAUGGUAGUACACUGCUGCAAGACGAAGAAUGUAUAGCCGUCAGGGCAGUCUACUCUACAGUGGAUGCAGAUAACGCAUUAAACAUUCCCCCUGACGAGGACGGUCGCUACAUGAUUAAAACUCAACGCACGGAAUUGACGGGGGCCCGCACAAGCGGUGGAGCAUGUGGUUUAAUUCGAAGCAACGCGCAGAACCUUACCAGCCCUUGACAUCCCGGUCGCGGAUAACAGGGAUGUUUUCUUUCAUUUCGGACAGACCGGAGACAGGUGGCACAUGGGUGUUGUCAGCUUGUGUCGAGAGAUGGGGGUAUAUGUCCCGCAACGAGCGCAACCCUUUCCUAUAGUUCCCAGCAUAUGGUGGCGCUCUAUAAGGGGACUGCCGGUCAUAAGCCGAGAGGAAGGGGGGGAUGACGUCAAGUCAUCAUGGCCCUUACGGGGUGGGCUACACACGUGCAACAAUGGUGGCAACAGUGGGCAGCGAGACGAGGGGGUCGAGAUAAUCUCCAAAAGCCAUCACAGUUGGGAUUACACUGCACAUCUCGAGCACAAGAAGUGGAAUCGUUAGUAAUGGCAGAUCAGCAUGCUGCGGAAAUAGUUUCCCGGCCUUUUACACACCGCCGGUCACACCAGGGGAGUUGUUUCUACCGGAAGGUAGUGCGGUAACCGCAAGGAGCAGCAACCAAGUUGUUCAGAAAGCU